AGUGAACGCUGGCGGUAGGCCUAACACAUGCAAGUCGAACGGCAGCACAGUAAGAGCUUGCUCUUACGGGUGGCGAGUGGCGGACGGGUGAGGAAUACAUCGGAAUCUACUUUUUCGUGGGGGAUAACGUAGGGAAACUUACUCUAAUACCGCAUACGACCUACGGGUGAAAGCAGUGGAUCUUCGGACCUUGCGCGAUUGAAUGAGCCGAUGUCGGAUUAGCUAGUUGGCGGGGUAAAGGCCCACCAAGGCGACGAUCCGUAGCUGGUCUGAGAGGAUGAUCAGCCACACUGGAACUGAGACACGGUCCAGACUCCUACGGGAGGCAGCAGUGGGGAAUAUUGGACAAUGGGCGCAAGCCUGAUCCAGCCAUACCGCGUGGGUGAAGAAGGCCUUGGGGUUGUAAAGCCCUUUUGUUGGGAAAGAAAAGCAGCAGGUUAAUACCCCGCUGUUCUGACGGUACCCAAAGAAUAAGCACCGGCUAACUUCGUG
rnacentral:rRNA from 1 species